AAUUUUGUGAUAUCUCGGUAAUCGACUUGGCCGGGUAGGAGAUCCACUUGGAUCGGCUGGCCAGCAAGUGAAUUGAUUUUCCGAGUUCUCACUGUUACAAACUCCAAAACCCUUACCCCUCAGGCUAAGAUCAGAAAUUAAGACUCUCUCUGGUACUCAUAUAUUGGAAAUAUUUCAGAGGUGAAUCAGUAAGGUGGAGCAUAAGUAAAGGGUGAGCACUAAGACUUUUGGGCGGCGACUGCUAAUUACUAUCUCUGCCAAUGGAUAAAAAGUCUGUUCGAGAAGCGAAAGCCCGGAAAAGUGAUCGGAUUAAAUUAAAGAGGAGGAAGGUGGAUGAUAAUGAAAAUCUCGUCAUAUCACCUGCCCAUAAUCAGAUACGUUGUGAAGAUGAACAAGAAGUAAAGUUCAU